GCGCAUGCGCAGAAUGGUUAUGUGUAGCCGUUUGAAAAGCGUCGGUCUCACAACGCGUCGUACUAAAUUAAUCGAAAUCUGUGAUAAAUCGUAUUUCCAAGUGAUUUACGUAGUCAAAUUAAUGUGUAAGUGAAGUGAUUUAUGUGCGCAAAAAGGAUACAUAAGUUGGAGUUCGUCCUGGAUUGAAAUUUCAGCAAAUACAAUUUUAUACUGGAUGGAUCUAUUACUGGCAACUGGGGGACGUUUUUACAUCGUGAAACAUCUCAAGUUGACUCGAGUUGCAGUCAGUUUGUCAAAGAACUCCUGAAGCAGAAUUACACUCGGCAGUGAAGAAACGG